GAUCCUUUAGACCUUCGGAAU
rnacentral:snRNA from 1 species